rnacentral:lncRNA from 1 species
GGGUAUUGUGGUUUUAGUUAAAAAGGGUAUUGUGUUGAACAUGAUAUUUUCAAAUGGAACUUAGGUAUAUAACAAUGAAUAUGCGAGGAUUCAUAUAUGCAUGUGUUUAGUCCCAUAUCGGCUAUGCACUGAGUAGGUCUUGAGUAUUUAUAUAGGGUCAAGGAAUCCAAUAACAUCUUAGUCUUUUUCGAUGAGGUCCUUGAUUGUUACAAAUGAUAUCAGAAUGGAUCCAACAUAUGGCUCAUGUAUAUUUGGGGAUGUUGUAAUGCAAGCCUAUUUGGGUUGUUCACGAUGUGGUGCUUGUUAUAGGAUUCGUGGUUCUUAUGAUUGGAUUUGAAUAGAUUGGAUUUUUAGCCUGGCC